rnacentral:rRNA from 1 species
GACGAACGCUUGCGGCGUGCUUAACACAUGCAAGUCGAACGGAAAGGCCCUGCUUUUGUGGGGUGCUCGAGUGGCGAACGGGUGAGUAGCACGUGAGUAACCUGCCCUUGACUUUGGGAUAACUUCAGGAAACUGGGGCUAAUACCGGAUAGGAGCUCCUGCUGCAUGGUGGGGGUUGGAAAGUUUCGGCGGUUGGGGAUGGACUCGCGGCUUAUCAGCUUGUUGGUGGGGUAGUGGCUUACCAAGGCUUUGACGGGUAGCCGGCCUGAGAGGGUGACCGGCCACAUUGGGACUGAGAUACGGCCCAGACUCCUACGGGAGGCAGCAGUGGGGAAUAUUGCACAAUGGGCGGAAGCCUGAUGCAGCAACGCCGCGUGCGGGAUGACGGCCUUCGGGUUGUAAACCGCUUUCGCCCGUGACGAAGCGUGAGUGACGGUAAUGGGUAAAGAAGCACCGGCUAACUACGUGCCAGCAGCCGCGGUGAUACGUAGGGUGCGAGCGUUGUCCGGAUUUAUUGGGCGUAAAGGGCUCGUAGGUGGUUGAUCGCGUCGGAAGUGUAAUCUUGGGGCUUAACCCUGAGCGUGCUUUCGAUACGGGUUGACUUGAGGAAGGUAGGGGAGAAUGGAAUUCCUGGUGGAGCGGUGGAAUGCGCAGAUAUCAGGAGGAACACCAGUGGCGAAGGCGGUUCUCUGGGCCUUUCCUGACGCUGAGGAGCGAAAGCGUGGGGAGCGAACAGGCUUAGAUACCCUGGUAGUCCACGCUGUAAACGGUGGGUACUAGGUGUGGGGUCCAUUCUACGGGUUCCGUGCCGUAGCUAACGCUUUAAGUACCCCGCCUGGGGAGUACGGCCGCAAGGCUAAAACUCAAAGGAAUUGACGGGGCCCCGCACAAGCGGCGGAGCAUGCGGAUUAAUUCGAUGCAACGCGUAGAACCUUACCUAGGUUUGACAUGGAUCGGGAGUGCUCAGAGAUGGGUGUGCCUCUUUUGGGGUCGGUUCACAGGUGGUGCAUGCCUGUCGUCAGCUCGUGUCGUGAGAUGUUGGGUUAAGUCCCGCAACGAGCGCAACCCUUGUUCACUGUUGCCAGCACGUUAUGGUGGGGACUCAGUGGAGACCGCCGGGGUCAACUCGGAGGAAGGUGGGGAUGACGUCAAGUCCUCAUGCCCCUUAUGUCCAGGGCUUCACGCAUGCUACAAUGGCUGGUACAGAGAGUGGCGAGCCUGUGAGGGUGAGCGAAUCUCGGAAAGCCGGUCUCAGUUCGGAUUGGGGUCUGCAACUCGACCUCAUGAAGUCGGAGUCGCUAGUAAUCGCAGAUCAGCAACGCUGCGGUGAAUACGUUCCCGGGGCU